rnacentral:lncRNA from 1 species
CCAGUCGGAUUCUCUAAUUAAGAUAUAGCAGUCAACCAUCAAGAAAUCAUCAACUAUUUCACCGGGGAUGAGCUCUAUGGCUAUUCUAUUAAGUAAGGAUCAACUUAGGCCUUAGGCUUAAGCUAGAACUGCUCCUUCUAUCACAUCGGAUUCUAGUAAAGAGAUGGGCCUUCUCGUCUGAUCUCUGCAUCAACAGGAAUGCGGGAAAAGCUUCUUCUCG